rnacentral:lncRNA from 1 species
AAAGUGGUUGAACUUUUAAUUUCAAAGAUGUGUGUCAAUUCACAUAGCUGCCUCAAGGACCAAGAAAAAAAUGACAUUAUAAUUAGACAUGUUAACCCACCUCUGGUCUCUUUUGCUUGCACAUGGUUUUCAAGGUGGAAAUCGAUUCAUAAGCCCUGUUCUCGUUGGACUCAUCAUUUGUAAUUGGAACUGAAUAAAAAUAUUUUCAGCCAUUAAUCAAAAGCUUUGGGUUUUUCAGGGUAAAGGACAUGAAAACAAAGAGCUGCAAACCUUGUUUUGAGGGCUUUGUGACAUAGAGAAGAAUAACUGUGUCAUGGCACUGAACAGUGUGAGAGAGUGCCCAUUGUAAAGCUCCCCUGGCUUCAAUGCUGGAAUCAAC